CUGUCUCUUGCUUCAACAGUGCUUGGAUGGAACAG
rfam:Ovis aries breed Texel chromosome 8, whole genome shotgun sequence.